UUGGCAAAGCAGCACAGGUUUCUGACAAACAGCUUCCCUGUUUGCAGGGAGUGCAAAGUUGAACUGAUAAGCCAAGUUCUUGGAGGGAUUAUGCAAUAUUCAGAUUAGAGGGCAUGUAGCUAAUGGUCUGGAAAUGAUCAGAGCCUUGUAUCCUCUGAAUGGUGGCAUCAGAGCUGUAUCUGUUCACCUGCAUUCCCAAAGGAUGCUGAUCUCAUACUGGUUUCCCAGAACCGAUGUCUGUGAUGAUGGACUGGUUUGCAUGGUGGUGACUUUGGGAGUCAUAGUGUGACUGUGGGUGCCCUCAUUAGAAAGGGAAUCUUUGAAAGGUGUGUUUCACUGUAUACUAUGUUAAAAGGAUGGGUUUUUUUUCCCCCUGAUACCUGAAAAACAUUUCAUUUGGCCAGUGGAUUUGAAUGGGGACAACCUAACUGUUCUCCUAUGGAGCAGCACUGUUCUUCACAGUGUGUUAACACUGGCAAACAGUGAGCUGUGGCAGUGAUCAGAAAAGCAGGUCUGUAUGCACAGAGAUGUUCUGCACAGUGGCUGGGUCCAGACCACGCAUUCACUGAGAAGCAGGAAGGACACUGUGCAAAGAUAGGAAGAGACCAGAAAGGACACUUGAGCAGAGACCAUCACAUGCUGCAUCUGCUCUUGCUCUUCCCUGGACUGUCUGAGCUUCAGCUGAAGAUGAGAGGUAGAACUGCUGCUGAUCUGACAUCUUCUAAUACGAGCUGAAAAACUGAUUAAAGGAUUUGACUCUGUUCA